AGUGAACGCUGGUGGUAGGCCUAACACAUGCAAGUCGAACGGCAGCACAGUAAGAGCUUGCUCUUACGGGUGGCGAGUGGCGGACGGGUGAGGAAUACAUCGGAAUCUACUUUUUCGUGGGGGAUAACGUAGGGAAACUUACGCUAAUACCGCAUACGACCUACGGGUGAAAGCAGGGGAUCUUCGGACCUUGCGCGAUUGAAUGAGCCGAUGUCGGAUUAGCUAGUUGGCGGGGUAAAGGCCCACCAAGGCGACGAUCCGUAGCUGGUCUGAGAGGAUGAUCAGCCACACUGGAACUGAGACACGGUCCAGACUCCUACGGGAGGCAGCAGUGGGGAAUAUUGGACAAUGGGCGCAAGCCUGAUCCGGCCAUACCGCGUGGGUGAAGAAGGCCUUCGGGUUGUAAAGCCCUUUUGUUGGGAAAGAAAAGCAGCAGGUUAAUACCCCGCUGUUCUGACGGUACCCAAAGAAUAAGCACCGGCUAACUUCGUG
rnacentral:rRNA from 1 species